AUGGAUGGUCCACUUUGUGACUAAUCAUUGAACACACAUUUAUGAUUUGUGCACUUUGGGGCAUUUGUGUUAUUUUCUUAAAGAGAAAAAUGAAUUGAGGCCUGGCUCCAGGCCAGAAUAAUUAGGUCAGGGUCCCUGGGAGAGGGUUCAGGUGACUCUGACAUGUACUGGGGCUGCCCACCUGACCUGGCUUACAUGGCCAACCUCUUGUCUCCCCCUCUCCCUUGCCUGCUCCUGCCCACCUCCUUUCUGUCCCUUGAACAUGCCUCUUGUUUUUGGGCACCAACUGUUUGCACUUGCCUGUGUGUUCCCUGGGAUUGGAAGGCUGUCUCCUGCCUGGCUCCCUCAAGUCACGCCCUACAGUGACCUUCCCUGGCCCGUCCAUCUAAAAUGGGCUGCUCAUCCCAGCCACUUUCUGUUCUAUCAUUCUGUUUAUUUCCUUUACUCUUUUGCGGUUGAGACAAUGUCCUGUGGUCAUCAAAUUCCAUUUCAUUUGCGUCUUCCUAGAUUUCGAAGAAGACUGUGUUUUUCAACCUCCCUUGCAGUUAGGUUGGGGCCAGUGGUUUGUGGACAGAGGUGACAGACGCCACAUCCAGACCUUGCCACAGAACCUCUUGUGGGACCGUCCACACCCCCUAUUCCUCUUCCACGGUGACCAAGGUGACCACCUGUGUAAGACGGAAGAGCCCAGGACGUAAGGAGCCUGGAGCCCGGAGUCACCGACAGGAGGAGAGCUGCCAAGUGGGGCUGCUGAACCACACUGAUCAUAGAACGUGAGCUCCUGUUUACAGCUGUAUUUCCAGCCCACGGGCACAGGCCCGGCGUGCAGAAGCCCAGCAGCAUUCCAUGCAGGCGAUAAAUGAUUCAGUGUCGAGAGGACUCUGGAGACAGAGAUGAUGUUCUCAGGGUGGGAGGGGGGAAGUCUGCAGGAGAGAGCGUGGGUCUUGGGUUCCCUUUCUGAGUGGUAGUCUCUCCAUCUGUAAUAGCACGGCAUGCAAUCAUCGCUUAUGAACACCUAGCAUGUUGCAGGGUGGAGAGGCGGCCUGUAAUACUCCCUAGGAUUGCAGAUGCAGACGGGCAGACGGGGGAAUUGAAGGCUCGAGUCAAGAACGGUCGGCCAGCACCUGCACCUGCAUUCGGUGGUGGAGGGGGCUGCACUUUCAGACGGGAGUGGGGUGGAGCUCCACUGUCCUCUACCUGUCACCUGGCCCAGUCUCACCUGUCUGCAGAUUCACCCCGGUUACGCUGCUGAAUUUCCUUUCCUGGGACCUCUGCAUGUUUAGAGAUGACUGCUGGAGAUCGGAGAGUCUUCACACGGAAUGAGAGACCAAGUGGUGAUGAGGGCCCUGACGACAUCCUGCUCAUGGAUGGGCCUGGAAACACGCCCCAAGAAAGAAAUCAGACACACAGGACCCGUGUGGUGUGACGGCCCCUGUGUGAGAUGUCCAGGACAGGUGCGUGCGGAUAGACCGUAGAGCACCGACCGAAGAACAAAGUGUCCUCGCCCUUUGUCCCCUCCUCUGACUUGUGAGCUCAUGUGGUCUUGAGGAACUCCAUCAAGACGUCACCUGUGUCCUGAGACCGACCAGGUGCCCCACUGAGAUGAGCCCCUCGGUGUCCUGCUGAUGCGCUGACCCAAGAGCCCUUGAGCCUUCUUUGAAACACCCAGGGAAGCAGCCAUGCUAACUGCUCAGCAGGCUUGGGAUGCUCGUUAUGACCCCUGUGUUCUUCCUUAUGGUGCAAGGCUGGUUUUUAUGGUGACCUCAAUGUUUUCCACGACAGAAUAAUGUCGGCGCUCGGUGUCCAGAGUCUAGCCAGGGUUGGUAUGUGUGGCUGGAACACUGAGGAUGCACCAAGAGUAUGUGGGGUGGGGGUGGGAGGUACUUGGAGGUUUAAAGACCCCGCUAUAGUCUCCCCAUGAGCUCACAGAACAGGCCACUGAGAAUCAGGUCAGAAGAGGUUUCCAGUGCUCUGCGCGUGCUCUCCCGUCCCUCUCCCACUGUCUUCCUCCUCUCCCCACACAAACCAUCCCUCCACCUCCCUCAGCACCUGCCCCCAACCAGGUACCAUGCAGGAGCAUGUUUCCAGAUCUGCUCACUUGCUCCGUGCCACGACGUGCAUGAGUCUGUGGGAGGGGGGACAGGUUUGUCUGGACAAAGUGGAGCUCUCCAGGAUGGAGAAGGACGCGAGGCCAUUCAAAAUCAAGAAACCCAUUAGCUGUGUCUUCACAGAGGCCAGGAAGCUGAACCUCGGCCCGGGGAGCUGUCCUGCUGCCAUGUCCAGUGUCCUGAGCUCAUCACCGUGUUGCUCUGUGCAGACUGUGCUUUUCUUGGAGGCUCAUUUGUCAAGCAUCCCCGGCCCUUGGAUGGAAGGGGUCGCCGCCAGAUUGGAACUGUGCCUUGAUUCUUGUUUUCUGCUGGUGUUCCCACUAACGAAGGGCAGCUGCAGGAGAAAACAUCCUGGGGGCCUAGACAUGGUGGGAGUGGAGCUCCGUGCUGAAGACCCCGGACAAGGUGCCACAUCACUUGCUCCUUGCCGUCUGAACAUGUGGCCACCUGUAUUUUCUAACCGCUAGCUACGUGCACCAAGAAGCAGAGGUGUCGGGAGGCCAGCCAGCAGCUGUGAGCCUGUGAAUUUCCAGUCAGACCCAACUCCUUAAGAGCAAAAGGAGUGGGGCUUGGGCGCCCCUGGCCGCCGUGGUUCUUCAUCUUGGUGUCUCUCUCCAGUCUGUCGGCACCGGCCCUGGGGCUGCUUCUGUGGGGCCCUCUCCCGUGUCUCCCUUCCUUGCCCUUUCUCUUCCACACCCCUCACCCUGCUUGCCUUAUUUCCUGCACCCUAGUUUCCAGGUACUCCUUGUCUUCUACUUGGACCAUUGCCGAGGCCUCCCUGUCACCCCCCCCCGAAAUUCCAAGCCUAUAUAUCCCAUUGUUGUCACAGAAGUCUUUCAGAAGCAGAGCUACUUCUAUGGCAUGCUGCUGCUCAAGAACAUUCAGUGGCUCCCUGUUACCUAACAUAAAGAAGUCCAGACUCCUUGGCAUGGCCUUGGACCCCCUCCGAUUUGGCCCUGAGUUGACUUUAUGGACGUGGCCUGCCUCAUUUCCAACCCUAACCCCACUCCCCAUUCCCACAACUCCUGGCUGGAGUUAAACGGGAUGGCCUGCUUACACCUCCCAUCUGUGUCCACCCCGCAUGGGCUUUGUGCUGGAGAGUUCUGUGAAGGAGAUGACAUCCCAGUGAUCUUCCAGUCCACACUACCUACCCUCCCCUUCCCCUGAACUCAGAGUGUUUACGGGCUGGGUCACUCUGCAUGGAAAUUCAUUGAUUCAACAAACGCUGCCCAUUGACACGAUGCUUUGGUUCAGCUUGUCCUGAACUUUCCUGGACAAACUCCCGCCACACAUUCUCAGUCCUAUGGCGUUUUCAGCUCCUUGUUGCUCGGUGUCACAAAGAGGCUACUGUACCACUUCCCAAGUCCCACCCUAUAAGCACCUAGGGUUUUCUUAUCUUUCCAUCCUUCUGUUCUUUAACUCACCAUGUGUUUACAGAGUUCCUGUUCUGUGCCGAGCACUGGGGGUACCAUGGGGGUGAGGUGGACCCCGUCCUCCUGUUGUGUGAGGCGAGGUGGACGGGACCCCCCAGCCCCAGCACUGUGUAGUGAGCAUGAAAAGGUGCGGGUGCUAGGAAGCAGGUGAGGGGGGCUGUGUGGUCUUGGGGUGUCAGGGGCCCCGUCUCUACAGAGGGGACUUUCAGCUGAUAUUGGAAGGAUGACUGGGUGUUGGACAUGAGAGUGGGAGCAUCUGGAGACACACCAGGAAGGUGUGUGAAAGGCAGGAAGCAUGUCCCAAGGGACUGGCAAGGGCUGGGUGUGACACCAUCAGAGUUGCCUUUUGCGAAGGUGACCCUCUGCCGAAUCCGGCCCACUGCCGGUUUUUGUCCAUAAAGCUUUAUUGGCACCCAGCUGCGCCCAUUAGUUUAUGUUUUGCCAAUGGCUGCUUUCUAGAUGUGGAAUUGUGGAACCAAAGGCCACGUGGCCCGCAGCGCCAGACAUAUUUACAUGGACCUCUUAUGAAGUGCUUGCAGACCGCUCUGUUAAAAAGCUGGGUUGGGGGUGCCUGGGUGGCUCAGUCGGUUA